AACGAACGCUGGCGGCAUGCCUAACACAUGCAAGUCGAACGAGAACUUCCGGUCGGGUGUCCACCGGGUGCGUAACGCGUGGUAACCUGCGUUUAAGCUCGGAAUAACUCAGGGAAAUUUGAGCUAAACUCGGACGAUGUCUGCGUAUCAAAGAUUUUUGGGCUUUAGAUGGGGCCGCGCUGGGUCGGCUGGGUGGUGGGGUAAAGGCCUACGACGGCGUCGAUCCAUAGCUGGUCUGAGAGGAUGAUCAGCCACACUGGGACUGAGACACGGCCCAGACUCGUGCGGGAGGUAGCAGUGGGGAAUAUUGGAGAGUGGGCGAAAGCCUGAUCCGGCGAGGCCGCGUGAGUGAUGAAGGCGUUAGGAUCGGAAAUCACUUUUAACGGAGAUGUUAAUGACAGUAUCGGGAGAAUAAGCUCCGGCUAACUCCGUG
rnacentral:rRNA from 1 species